rnacentral:guide_RNA from 1 species
GAGACAAAACGUCAUUUAAACUGUGAGAGAUUGAGUUAUAA